AUUGAACGCUGGCGGAAUGCUUUACACAUGCAAGUCGAACGGCGGCACGGACUUCGGUCUGGUGGCGAGUGGCGAACGGGUGAGUAAUGUAUCGGAACGUGCCCAGUCGUGGGGGAUAACGUAGUGAAAAUUACGCUAAUACCGCAUAAGAUCUAUGGAUGAAAGCGGGGGAUCGCAAGACCUUGCGCGAUUGGAGCGGCCGAUAUCAGAUUAGGUAGUUGGUGGGGUAAAGGCCCACCAAGCCGACGAUCUGUAGCUGGUCUGAGAGGACGACCAGCCACACUGGAACUGAGACACGGUCCAGACUCCUACGGGAGGCAGCAGUGGGGAAUUUUGGACAAUGGGCGAAAGCCUGAUCCAGCCAUUCCGCGUGCAGGAUGAAGGCCCUCGGGUUGUAAACUGCUUUUGUACAGAACGAAAAGGUUUCUACUAAUACUAGGAGCUCAUGACGGUACUGUAAGAAUAAGCACCGGCUAACUACGUGCCAGCCGCCGCCGUAA
rnacentral:rRNA from 1 species